rnacentral:piRNA from 1 species
UGUCACACUGAGUACAGGAGGCUAG